AUACUCUGGUUUCUCUUCAGAUCGUAUAAAUCUUUCGCCUUUUACUAAAGAUUUCCGUGGAGAGGAACACUCAGAGUCUCAAACAAUUUUUUGUUGUCCUGCUUCGGUAGGGCU